rnacentral:miRNA from 1 species
GGAACAAGAAAGUGAAGACAACGUUUCGGCUCCUCUCUAUCAAGUCUUGAUAAAGGCUCAGAGAGGAGCCGAAACGUUGUCUCUACUUUCUUGUUA